CCUUUUAAAAUAAAUUUUUAUUGAUUUUUAAUUUUUGUAAAAGAAAAGGAAAAGAUUUUGUUAUUUAUUUUUUAUGAUUUUUAUAUUUUUUUAAUUUUAACAAACAAAUAAUAAUAAAACAAAUUCUAAAGUUAAAGAAAUAAAAGCAAAGACAAUAAUAAAAAAAAAAUAAUACAGUCCAAUAGGUCCAAUAAGAAAAAGGGAGUGCAGAAGACAAAACCAGGGGUGCAACAUGAAACUUAUUGGCCCAAGACCAAAGGUAGGGGUGCAGUAGUGCCAUUUGGGGGGUGCCACUGGAUAUUUUGCUGACUAGGCCCAAGGCCUCCUUUUUUUAUUUGCAGAAUUGGAUUUGUGGUGCAAAUAGAGUUGCGCGGUGGCGAGAAGAAAGGAAACAGCUCAAGCCCAAGGCCUCUUAACCCUACCAGAAAUUCAUUAGGGGUUCUCCACAAGUCCCCCAUUUGUGCAGUUGGCGCCUCAGACCCAGGGUCUUCUUCUCCAGUCAAAGGAAGCCAGAGACACUCAUCUCCACCGCUCACGGCCACAACCAAUCACCGUCCACAACCUCGUCAGCAACAAUGCUCGUUGUCGGAGCGACCAAGUCGAAGCCGACGUUCUCCGUCGAGCUCCCCUCUCCGCUAUCGUGCCAGCC
rnacentral:lncRNA from 1 species